GGGGCGGUGGCGAAAUUGGCAGACGCAGAGGACUUAAAAUCCUCCGGUGGAGACACCUUGCGGGUUCAAGUCCCGCCCGCCCCA
rnacentral:tRNA from 1 species